AUUUUGCAUCAAUCACUUUAAAAGAACAUAUAUUGCAGCAACAAAAAAUAAUAAGAAUUGUUCCCCAUAUGGUCUUCUUCCUCAGUAACUGCCACAUAGUAGCUAUGAGAAAGUGAUGGAAUAUAUGGGGUCCAGACCUGUACAGAGCAGUCCAGGCCUGGGUUGAUAUCCAAUGCUGUGGAACGGGAAUAUGCAUCAAGUCCUCGUGAGACAUUCAGCUCCCAUACGCCACAAAGACAGAGCCAAGCAUAUGCUGACAAAAGCCAGAUAUACCUGGUUGUCAACAUUGGGAAUUUUCUUUCCUCAAUUUAUCAGCAUUUUUUUUCUUCUGAAAAGUUUUAUAAGAGUGUGAUCAUAUACCUGAAUCAAACUUGAUGAAAUCUUUAAUCUUUCCAGUUGCAAUGUCUACCAUUAUUGUGUCGUUGACUUUGACCAAUGGA